AUUGAACGCUAGCGGGAUGCUUUACACAUGCAAGUCGAACGAGUGGCGGACGGGUGGGUAAUAUAUCGGAACGUGCCCAGUCGCGGGGGAUAACUACUCGAAAGAGUGGCUAAUACCGCAUACUAUUGGAGCGGCCGAUAGCGGAUUAGCUAGUUGGUGGGGUAAAGGGUCACCAAGGCGACGAUCCGUAGCUGGUCUGAGAGGACGACCAGCCACACUGGGACUGAGACACGGCCCAGACUCCUACGGGAGGCAGCAGUGGGGAAUUUUCGGCAAUGGGGGAAACCCUGAUCCAGCCAUCCCGCGUGUAUGAGAAGGCCUUCGGGUUGUAAAGCACUUUUGGCAGAGAAGCGGUAUCUGCACAAUAAGCACCGGCUAACUACGUGCCAGCAGCCGCGGUAAUUC
rnacentral:rRNA from 1 species